AUGUGUCCAACAUUUUUAUCGCUUUCAGGAACAAAGAGGCACCAAGCAAAGCCUAAAAGCAGAAAUGAGAAUAUAAUUGAGGAGAGCAAUGUUACCACCAAUAUUGGUCACAAUGCCAUUGGCUGCAAGAGACCAAAAAGAGAAGUUGCCCGUUCGAAUUUCAGUGAGAAGGCAUUUGACUUAUCUGAAGAAGAUUCACUUGUCACACCCAAGGAAAUCAGAAUUGAGGAGGAAACAGAGGCAGUUAGGUACAAGUUACGCCAACCAACGAAGCAGUAUGCGCCAUGGUGUGACACUGUCCUUAAAACAGCAAGACUGGCUGUUAGUGUCAUUGCCAUUUUAAAAGAACAAACUCGUGCUUCAAAACUUUCUUUCACUGAUGUUACCAAGAGAGUAGCAGAAUUUGAGAGAGGGCACCAUGCAUUCAUUUCAAAAGAUGCAACACUUGUUGAAAGAUAUGUUGUGGUGCAUGGACAGAUAAUCCUUCAACAGUUCGCAAAUUAUCCAGAUGAGUACAUUCGACGGUGCGCCUUCAUCACAGGCCUUGUCAAGAAGAUGGAAGAAAGAGGUCACACGAAGCUAGCAAUGAAGAAGAAAUCUCAAGUUGUGAGAGGAGGGAAUCUGAACCCAAUUGCAAAAAUGACCCCAGUAUCAAAACGAAAUCUUAUGCGUGCGACAACCACAAAGUUGGUCAGCAGGAUAUGGGGUGAUUACUAUACAACCCAUUUCCCAGAGGAUUCAAAGGAGGGGGGUGAGAAUGAUGAGCAAAAGGUAUUUGAGGAGGAACAGGAAGAAAAUGAAGAAGAUGAUGCUGAAGGAGAGGUUGAAGUUGGCGAGGAACAUGUUUCGAGGACCUUGCCACCAACAAGGUCUAGAGUGACAUCAUUAGAUGUUUGUGAAGAAAUAAAAUGGGAAGGUCAAAUGGUUGGAAAAACACCUGCUGGAGAAGCUCUGUACAGAAGUGUUAGAGUUGGAGAUCUAAGUAUUCCUGUUGGUGGGGCAGUCACAUUGGAAGGUGAUUCAGGAGAAGCCAUUAUGUGUUCUGUUGAGUAUAUGUAUGAGACACAUGAUGGCACACAAAUGAUUCAUGGAAGAGUUCUGCAAAAUGGUUCGGACACUGUCCUCGGCAACGCCGCAAACGAAAGAGAGGUGUUCUUUACCAAUGACUGUUUACAGUUCAAAGUAGGUGACAUGAGAGAAUCAGUUACUGUCAACUUCCAGCUAAUUCCCUGGGGUCACAAGUGCAGAAAAGACCAGUUGGAAGCUAUUAGGGCAGAGAAGGCCAAUGCAGAGGAUAGGAAGAAGAAAGGUUUGCCGGUGGAGUAUAUCUGCAAAAGCCUAUACUGUCCUGAGAAAGGUGCCUUUUUCUCCCUCCCUUAUGAGAAAAUGGGUAAUGGAACUGGCACUUGUAGUUCCUGUGAGGAGCGAGUAGCGGUUGGUGAUGAAUUCAAAAUACUGUCAGAGACCAGCUUUGUCCUCAAGAAUGUCACAUACAAUGUUCAUGACUUCCUGUAUAUCAGGCCCGAGUUUUUCCCUCGAGUCGAGGGCCGUGGGACCUACCGGGCUGGAAGAAAUGUGGGCCUGAAGCCCUAUGUGGUAUGUCGUUUGCAGAGUGUCAAUGGUGCUUCAAGGUCUCAUAAAGCUAAUCUGAAAUCAACAAAAGUCAGUGUAAGAAGGCUAUACAGACCUGAUGAUAUUUCAUCGGAUAAAGCUUACUCUUCAGAUAUCAGAGAGGUGUACUACAGUGAAAAUAUAGUUAGUGUGCCUGUUGCGAUGAUAGAGGGAAAAUGUGAGGUUACAGCAAAGGAUGACCUUCCAAAUUCAAAUCUUCCAGUAGUAGUUGAGCACGCCUUUUACUGUGAACAUUUAUAUGAUCCUCGCACUGGAGCUCUCAAGCAGCUACCGACCAAUGUUAAGCUCACCCUGGCAAGGAAGGCGCCUGCUUCGAGAAAGAAUAAAGGGAAGCAGAUUUGUGACGAUGAGCAAGCCGAGAACUGUCUUGCAACCCUUGAUAUUUUUGCUGGCUGUGGAGGUUUGUCUGAAGGGCUGCACCUAGCUGGCGCUUCAUGUACAAAAUGGGCAAUCGAAUAUGAAGAACCUGCUGGGCAAGCAUUUCUUCAAAAUCAUCCUGAAGCAGCAGUGUUUGUGGAGAACUGCAAUGUAAUUCUGAAGGCGAUAAUGGAUAAGUGUGGCGAUGUUGAUGACUGCCUCUCCACUUCCGAGGCUUCUGCGAGAGCAGCAAAACUUCCAGAUGAGAAGGUUAAGAAUCUCCCUAUGCCCGGUGAAGUAGAAUUCAUCAAUGGUGGUCCUCCAUGCCAGGGGUUAUCCUGGAUGAACAGAUUCAAGCAGAGCCCAUGGAGCAAGGUUCAGUGCGAGAUGAUUCUGGCAUUCCUGUCCUUCGCAGAGUAUUUCCGGCCAAGGUUCUUCCUUUUGGAAAACGUCAGGAACUUUGUUUCAUUUAAGAUGGGCCAGACCUUCAGACUGACACUAGCAUCGCUCCAGGAGGUGGGGUACCAGGUCCUUGACGCUUGCUCUUCUCUAUUUGUGCUAUGGCCUUCCUUAACUUCCAUAUGUUUUCAACGUGUCUGCAUGUUCCUAGGUUCGAUUCUGCAUUCUAGAGGCAGGUGCCUAUGGCGUCGCGCAGUCCAGGAAAAGGGCGUUCAUCUAGGCCACCGCGCCUGGGAGACUCUUCCUGACUGGCCUGAACCAAUGCAUGUCUUCGCUAGCCCUGAGCUGAAAAUAAACCUGCCAGGAGGUAAAUACUAUGCUGCUGCCAGGAGCACAGCUGGAGGAGCUCCUUUCCGCUCUAUAACAGUCAGGGAUACAAUCGGCGAUCUACCACCGGUGGUGAAUGGCGCCAGCAACCCAACAAUAGAGUACGGAGGCGAGCCCAUCUCCUGGUUCCAGAAGAAGAUUCGAGGCGAUACGCUUUUGCUGAGUGACCACAUAUCCAAAAAGAUGAACGAGGUGAAUCUCAUUAGGUGCAAGCACAUCCCAAAGCGCCCUGGCUGUGAUUGGCAUGACCUGCCAGAUGAGAAGGUGAAGCUAUCCACAGGGAAAACGGUGGAUCUGAUCCCUAAGUACUUGCUCAACACAGCCAAGAGGAACAAUCAGUGGAAAGGCCUGUAUGGGAGGCUGGACUGGGAGGGCAACUUCCCCACAUCAGUGACAUAUCCCCAGCCAAUGGGCAGGGUCGGCAUGUGCUUCCACCCUGAUCAGGACAGGAUCAUCACUGUUCGUGAAUGUGCGCGAUCCCAGGGCUUCCCUGAUGGCUACCAUUUCGUUGGCAACAUCCGGAGCAAGCACAGGCAGAUCGGGAAUGCGGUACCACCUCCCCUUGCAUACGCGCUAGGGAGGAAGCUCAAGCAAGCCAUCGAUGCCAAGCCGCUUAAGUUAACUGAAGACAUGGUCCAAGUGGGACUUAAUUUAUCACUGGGCCCUAUAUAA
rnacentral:rRNA from 1 species